UGGAUACUAGGUGUAGGGUGUAUUAAGCACUCUGUGCCGCCGCUAACGCAUUAAGUAUCCCACCUGGGGAGUACGACCGCAAGGUUGAAACUCAAAGGAAUUGACGGGGCCCGCACAAGCAGUGGAGUAUGUGGUUUAAUUCGAAGCAACGCGAAGAACCUACCAUGAGAGUUGGGGAUACCCGAAGCCUGUGAGCUAACUUAACGGAGGCAGCAGUCGAAGGUAGAAUCAAUGAUUGGGGUGAAGUCGUAACAAGGUAUC
rnacentral:rRNA from 1 species